rnacentral:lncRNA from 10 species
GGGGGACUUCACACGGAGGAAUGAGGGGUGGGAUGCAGUGACAUCACAAGGGUCCCAUUAUGACCCCUCCUCCAUCAGCUAAGGGGGGAUGGGCUGAGCCUGAACAGAGGGAGAGGGGAGUAAAUAAGGGGCUGUUGCCAGAGCCUGAGCCCACCAGAGAAAGUCUGUGUGCAGAGGGAGGGCCUCAGGUCCUGCUGCUCCUUCAUCUUGACCCCUUCACACCCUCCUCUAACAGGGACCUCGACCUCCCUUCUCCACUCUCCUGGAUCCUGCUCAGUGUGGUGCAGGCCUUCUCUGGGGCCCUGGAGUUCCCACUGACCUUCAGCCCCGCCAGUUGCAUCUGCUGUUCCCACUGAAGGUCCUGUUCUCUACGAGUGAAUAUCCUAAUGACCAUAAUAAAGCCAGUUCCCUUUUUGGGGACUGACAUUUGUUGAGAACUCCCCCUAUGAAUGCUGUCUUGCUGCAAAACUUCACCUCUGGAUAAAGUGGCUGUGCUCCUUCUGGAUGUCUGCAUCAGGGCUGCUGAGGCACAGCUGAGAAUGCACCACACAGCUGACUACGCUGCUGAGCAAAUCUCAUUACUAAAUGCACAUCCCUUUCAAGGAUGCCAGGCGUUAGGGCUGCAUUGCAACUUUGAUGGACACUGGGGAUUAAUGCCUGUGUGUCCUUG